rnacentral:rRNA from 1 species
AUUGAACGCUGGCGGCAGGCCUAACACAUGCAAGUCGCACGAGUGGCGGACGGGUGAGUAAUGUCUGGGAAACUGCCUGAUGGAGGGGGAUAACUACUGGAAACGGUAGCUAAUACCGCAUACCCUCAGAUGUUCCCAGAUGGAAUUAGCUUGUUGGUGGGGUAACGUCUCACCAAGGCGACGAGCCCUAGCUGGUAUGAGAGGAUGACAAGCCACACGGGAAUUGAGACACGGUCCAGACUCCUACGGGAGGCAGCAGUGGGGAAUAUUGCAAAAUGGGCGCAAGCCUGAUGCAGCCAUGCCGCGUGUAUGAAGAAGGCCUUCGGGUUGGAAAGGACUUUCAGCGGGGAGGCGUUACCAGCAGAAGAAGCACCGGCUAACUCCGUGCCAGCAGCCGCGGUAAUUC